AGACGAUGAUGAAGACGAUGAUGAUGACGACAACGAUGAUGAUGAUAGAAAUGUAACUAUCAUCAUCAUCAUCGUCGUCGUCAUCAUCAUCAUCAUCAUCA
rnacentral:pre_miRNA from 1 species